AGCGGCGUGGCUCAGUGGAAAGAGCACGGGCUUGGGAGUCAGAAGAUGUGGAUUCUAAUCCCGCCUCUGCCA
rfam:Ornithorhynchus anatinus chromosome X1, whole genome shotgun sequence.